ACUUCCUGUCUGAGAGUUGAGAGGAGGGUGGGGGGCCGGGGCUGGAGAACAAUGGCCGGAGGGCGCGGGCUCUCCUGUGUCCACUCUGAAUGUUGAGGGCGGGCUUCACGGCCUUUAGGGCGGCUCCACCCCCGGCUCUCUGCGCCGGCGAGGUGAAGUCACCUCCCGGGGGCCCGGGAGUGGCCGCGGGCCUCGCUGAGUUUCCCGGAUCUCGACGCCACGACGUCCUUGUCUCUCUUCUGGGGACCAGGAGGGGGUUUUUGGAAGGAGGGGGAGAGCGGAGGCCGCCAUCUUGCUUCUAGAGGGCAGCCCCUUCUCCCGGGGCGUCCUAGGGUGUAGGCAACUCUAAUGUGAUCGGGGUUUCCCGAAUGGAGCCGGCGACGUGGCUCGUCGCGGGCCGAAUCCCGGGAGAUGAGUCAGUCGCCUGCUCUGCCUGGAAGGUCUGGUGGCCGCCCUGGACCUUCUAUUCUCCUGCUGAUCCCUAGAGAACUCGCAUCGGCGGAUAGUCAGGGAUCCUUUCCUGAGGAUUCCUGAGCCUCCUACGACACUGCGGCUCUGAUGUCUGGUGUGGCAUUGAGAUCAACCUGUAGCCUCGUCGUGUAAUUUGGGAACCUAAAUUGGAAGUAGUUCCACUAAAUCGUUUAUUUAAUCCAUCCACAGGUUCGAAAUAAGAUCGUUAGACUAACAUCCGUUAGCAGCUACAGUCCUGUCUCUUAAUACUUAACUCCCUUCUCCUCCAGCCUCCCCACCCUCCAACUGAGUAUCAACUCUGCGCUUGACACAGUCCAUUCAAAGGAUGCCCAGUCUAAUGAAAACUAAUUAUGGUUGGAAGUGUAGUAUAUCAAGAUAUAGAGAGAAAAGAAUGGGUCAAUACCAUUUCUGCGGCGAGCAGUGGCUGUGGCAAGUGGCGGCUGCAUGCCCGGUGCUGGAGCAGCUUAGAGGUGAUACCCCACAUCCAAGGUCACUAGUGGUGGCUGUGAGGAGAUACUCCACAUCCAAGGCAUGAUGCUCAGGAGCAAAUAUAAUAAUAGCUAAUGUGUCGUGCUGAAGCUGCUGCUGCGAAGAGCCAAUUCACUGGAAAGGACCCCGAUGCUGGGAAAGAUUAAGGAGAAGGGGGCAACAGAGGAUGAGAUGGUUGGAUGGUAUCACUGACUCAAUGGACACUGGAACACAAAGCUUUAAUUAAUUUGAAGACAGGUGAAAAUCACAGCUUGGACUUGGUUCAAGGCUUUUAUUUUGGUGUACCACAAAAGCAGUUAAUGAGCAGUGCUAAGGAUAUAAAUGAGGUAAGGAUGAGGUAGGUGAAUUCAGCUGCCCACUGUCCACUUGUCUGUGUAGCACAAAGAUUUUGGUGGAUUCAACAGCUCUGUCAGAGAAGAAUAGUAUUAUGGGCUUUAAAAAACCCAACAACAAAAAAACUCCAGGUAUGUCAGUAUCUAGAAAUUACUUAUUUAAGGUGAAAAUUCUGUUUUUAAGGAACCCACAUCACCCAAGCCUAAUGUCUGGAUCCUGGGUCUUGAAACUCUUGGCUGUUAUCUGCUCUGGGGCAAUCUUGCUUUACAUUUAUGUUUAUCUAGGGUCUUUUCAUGGCGAGAAUUGGUAAGCCUACAAUAUACAAGGCAGGGUAAAAGACACAAGGCAAGGUUUCUUGCUGGUUUUAGUACAGAGGCUCAGGAAACACAGGUAUAAAAUGAGCAUUCCAUUACUUUUUCUCUGCAUUUCAGGAACUUCUGUUUUUCAAAAGGCAAUGUAAACUUAAAUAGAUGUUUUCAAUCAAACAGCCUCAUUUAACUCACCUAAUUCUCUUGCUCCCUUUUCUGUGAACAUCUACACAAAACACCCUAUUUUCAAUGGCGCCAAAGGUUGUUAUUCUCAGGGAAUGUCAGAGUGAACCCAGAUAAAAUCUCUAAAUUUGCUGCACUCAUGAAAUUUUUAUUCAGGGUGACUUUCUUGAGAUAUAUUAUUAGAGAUGGGUAUAUUUCAUAUCUAAGAGGCUGCUUAUAGUAUUCCAGGUGGAUUUGAGAUUUUUGCUGCAUUCAUACAUAUGGUAGUAGUAUCUGUAUAACAAGGCAAAUUACUAAAUCUCUGAAAUAAUAAUAUUUACAUCUAGAGAGAUGUGAUCAAAACCAGAUGUGAUCUGGUUUUUAAAAACCAGCUAUCAAAUGUCACUUAUCUUCAGUAUGUUUUAGUAAAUUCUAAACACUUUAUGGUUUUCUAAUUUCAAAUUUGUUGCCUCAAUUUCAUAAUGUUUGGUGAACUUUAAGGAAGUUCAAGAUUGUAGUAGUACAUUUUCUUGAUCUCCUGAAAUACCUCUUUUAUCAGAUAAGACUGUCUUUUAGAGUAGAUGAUAGAUAUAAGUUAAGGCUAUCAAUGAGGGGCAAUUAUUCAGGUGUCUCUGAAGUUGGAUUUGUUACAUAAAUUUGUGUUUCCGGCAAAAAAGUGAUGGAAAACUUUUUCCUGAUCUUAUAUGCUUAGGUCCUAGAGCAAAAAUUUGAAUCUAAUUUUGUCUAUGCUAGACUAAGAAUAUUGCUACAAGGUAAUAAAGAAGUCAGUGGCUUCAAUGUUUUAUUACUAAAUAAAUAAAAGGAAAACUGCAGUUUAGGAGUAAUCUGGCACACUGUCAAGCAAUACUACUAACUGGUUAAAACUUGGAAAAGCUAGGUAAGUACUUGAGCAUGAAAUGUAGUUUCUGUAUUUUCUUGGAAUUGUGUCCUUACUUCUAAUCAUCACAAAACUGAAACAAACUUUAACGAAUAUCAUGAUAUCACUUAUAUGUGGAAUCUAAAAAAAUUAUACAAAUAGAUACAGACUCACAGACAUAGAAAACAAACUUAGUUACUAAAAAGAGAAAGGAGGUGGGGAUAAAUUGGGAGUUUCGA